rnacentral:rRNA from 1 species
UCGGGAAUUUUGGGCAAUGGGCGAAAGCCUGAUCCAGCCAUGCCGCGUGAGUGACGAAGGUCUUCGGAUUGUAAAGCUCUUUUGGCGGGGACGAUAAUGACGGUACCCGCAGAAUAAGCCCCGGCUAACUUCGUGCCAGCAGCCGCGGUAAUACGAAGGGGGCUAGCGUUGUUCGGAAUUACUGGGCGUAAAGCGCACGUAGGCGGAUUUGUAAGUCAGGGGUGAAAUCCCGGGGCUCAACCUCGGAACUGCCCUUGAUACUGCAAAUCUCGAGUCCGAUAGAGGUGAGUGGAAUUCCUAGUGUAGAGGUGAAAUUCGUAGAUAUUAGGAAGAACACCAGUGGCGAAGGCGGCUCACUGGAUCGGUACUGACGCUGAGGUGCGAAAGCGUGGGGAGCAAACAGGAUUAGAUACCCCUGUAGUCCCUGAGCGGGCUGGCAAGGCGCAU